GAAUAUUGGACAAUGGGCGAAAGCCUGAUCCAGCCAUGCCGCGUGUGUGAAGAAGUUCUUCGGAUUGUAAAGCACUUUACGUUAGGAGGAAGGGCAGUAAGCGAAUACCUUGCUGUUUUGACGUUACCGACCGGAUAAGCAGCGGCUAACUAUGUGCCAGCACGCGCGGUAAUAAAGAGGGUGCAAGCGUUAAUCGGAAUUACUGGGCGUAAAGCGCGCGUAGGUGGUUCGUUAAGUUGGAUGUGAAAUCCCCGGGCUCAACCUGGGAACUGCAUCCAAAACGGGCGAGCUAGAGUAGGGCAGAGGGUGGUGGAAUUUCCUGUGUAGCGGUGAAAUGCGUAGAUAUAGGAAGGAACACCAGUGGCGAAGGCGACCACCUGGGCUCAUACUGACACUGAGGUGCGAAAGCGUGGGGAGCAAACA
rnacentral:rRNA from 1 species